rnacentral:sRNA from 1 species
AGGUCGGUAUGUGAUUCGGGCGAGUGAGAGGAGGAAUGUUACUUUGGUUUUCUGUUUCAGAAUAUCCAAGGGACUGAGUGAAAAGAUAUUUGCAAAACCUGAAGAACAAAGAAAAACACUGGAAGAAGAUGUAGAUGACAGAGCACCUUCCAAAAAGGGAAAGAAGCGGAAGGCACAAAGGGAAGAGGAACAGGAACAUUCAAAUAAAGCUCCCAGGGCGCUUACAUCAAAAGAACGGAGGCGAGCAGUACGACAGCAACGGCCGAAAAAAGUUGGUGUGCGCUACUAUGAAACACACAACGUGAAAAAUAGGAACAGGAACAAAAAGAAGACCAAUGACUCAGAGGGACAGGAACACAAACACAAAAAAUUCAGACAAAAGCAGUAAUGUUUAAAAGGUUUUAUUAAAUUAUACAAAAAC